rnacentral:rRNA from 1 species
GACGAACGCUGGCGGCGUGCUUAACACAUGCAAGUCGAACGGAAAGGCCCGGCUUUGGGGGGGUGCUCGAGUGGCGAACGGGGGAGUAACACGUGAGUAACCUGCCCUUGACUGUGGGAGAACUUCAGGAAAGUGGGGCUAAUACCGGAAAGGAGCUCCUGCUGCUGGGUGGGGGUUGGAAAGUUUAGGCGGUUGGGGGUGGACUCGCGGCUUAUCAGCUUGUUGGUUGGGUAGUGGCUGAGCAAGGCUUUGACGCGUGGCCGGCCUGAGCGGGUGACCGGCCACACUGCGCCUGAGAUACGGCCCAGCCUCCUCUGGGACGCAGCGGUGGGGAAGAGUGCAUAAUGGGAUGAAGCAUGAUGUAGCCCCGCAGCGUCGGGGAUGACGGCAUUCGGGUUGUGUACCGAUUCCGCCUGUGACGAAGCGUUAGUGACGGUACUGGGUAAAGAAGCACCGGCUAACUACGUG